UUCUUCUGAUUGUUUUGCUAA
rnacentral:piRNA from 1 species